rnacentral:rRNA from 1 species
UACGAAGGGGGCUAGCGUUGCUCGGAAUCACUGGGCGUAAAGCGCACGUAGGCGGAUUGCUAAGUCAGGGGUGAAAUCCUGGAGCUCAACUCCAGAACUGCCCUUGAUACUGGCGGUCUCGAGUCCGGGAGAGGUGAGUGGAACUGCGAGUGUAGAGGUGAAAUUCGUAGAUAUUCGCAAGAGCACCAGUGGCGAAGGCGGCUCACUGGCCCGGUACUGACGCUGAGGUGACGAAGCGUGGGAGCAAACAGG